rnacentral:rRNA from 1 species
GGGGAAUAUUGCACAAUGGGGGAAACCCUGAUGCAGCGACGCCGCGUGAAGGAAGAAGUAUCUCGGUAUGUAAACUUCUAUCAGCAGGGAAGAUAGUGACGGUACCUGACUAAGAAGCCCCGGCUAACUACGUGCCAGCAGCCGCGGUAAUACGUAGGGGGCAAGCGUUAUCCGGAUUUACUGGGUGUAAAGGGAGCGUAGACGGAUUAGCAAGUCUGAUGUGAAAGGCAGGGGCUCAACCCCUGGACUGCAUUGGAAACUGCCAGUCUUGAGUGCCGGAGAGGUAAGCGGAAUUCCUAGUGUAGCGGUGAAAUGCGUAGAUAUUAGGAGGAACACCAGUGGCGAAGGCGGCUUACUGGACGGCAACUGACGUUGAGGCUCGAAAGCGUGGGGAGCAAAC